rnacentral:snRNA from 1 species
UUUGUCGUAGCUGAUAAAUGAAAACAAAAUCUCUUAGCAUGGCCCCUGCGCAAGGAUGACAAGCAAAUUCGUGAAGCGUUCCAUAUUUUA